rnacentral:rRNA from 1 species
GUGGGGUAAAGGCCUACCAAGGCUAUGACGGGUAGCGGGUCUGAGAGGAUGAUCCGUCACACUGGGACUGAGACACUGCCCAGACUCCUACGGGAGGCUGCAGUCGAGAAUCUUCCGCAAUGGGCGAAAGCCUGACGGAGCGACACCGCGUGCAGGAUGAAGGCCUUAGGGUUGUAAACUGCUGUCACGCUAUAGGAACCCGUGUAGGUUAAUAGCCUGCACGCUGACCAAAGCGAAAGGAAGUGCCGGCUAACUCCGUGCCAGCAGCCGCGGUAAGACGGAGGGCGCAAACGUUGUUCGGAAUCACUGGGCAUAAAGAGCACGUAGGCUGUUCGUUAAGUCGGAUGUGAAAUCCCUCGGCUCAACCGAGGAACUGCAUCCGAUACUGGCGAACUCGAGGACGGUAGGGGUAAGUGGAACUCCAGGUGGAACGGUGAAAUGUGUAGAUAUCUGGAGGAACACCGGUGGCGAAAGCGGCUUACUGGACCGUCUCUGACGCUGAGGUGCGAAAGCUAGGGGAGCGAACGGGAUUAGAUACCCCGGUAGUCCUAGCCGUAAACGAUGGGCACUAGGCAAUGGGCCACCUAUGGGGCUCAU